UAUCACAACACGUCUAGAAGAGGAAAAAUGAGUCACAAAGAAAAUAUAAGAGAAUCGAUUAGCUACAUAUGAUAAAUAUGUUAAAUAAUAAUAAAUGCUUAUGCGUUUAUUUUUCAGAUUCUAAAUCUCUUUGUUAAGAAUUAGAUCGUUCACCGUGAUAGUAGAUAUAAAUAUACAUGCAUAGGUUUAAUGAGCUGACGUAUGUAUGCAUAUUGGUACAACAUGUGUCAAGAUGUCAACAGGGCUCUUACUCCGCUCCGUCGUUCUUGUUGAUAUUGUCAAAGAUGCGCGAAUCUUAAGCAUCGCGUCUAAUUACAUGUUUCGUGGAAAUAACGGAGCGUGAUAGGUUUUCCGAGAUUUACCGACGAAAUUUGGUAUUAUGAACCGUAUGCGUUUUAAAAUGAUGAUUUAUUAUGGUCAUUCAGCUUGGCUAUUACUUCGGAUUUUUUAAAUUCAUACCAUGUUUUUCACUUUGAUUCAUUCUUAGUGAAGGUUAUGCGUGAAUUUAUAUCUAGUUGUUUGCGACUGACAUACCAGUCUCUUUCAUACAACUGUGAAUUUGACUCUUGCAGUUUAAGUAUCUUUGAUUGACUUUGGAUAAUAGCAGGUUCACUUUAUUCUUGAAGUAGGUAUCGAAGACACCAAAUAGACAUUUCAAACUCUUAACUUUCGCUUUUCUUCUUUGUCUUAUCUUACCAUCUUUCGGCAUCACUAUGCAUCUGUUACGAAAGCAUUCUAACAAUAAAUCUAGUUGAUAUCGCAUCCAAAAUAAUACCAUUAUGGCAACGAUUCAAAUAGUUACAUGUUGCAAUUUUUGUCCCGUGCCCGGGAAAAUGCAUUCAUUCAAAACUGCAUUCCAUAAUUAUUAAAUAACAAAUUUUUGGUAUUGCUAUCUGACUUUUAACAAAUAAGAGAUUCUUCCUGUACUAAAAGAAUGAUUUUAUAAAUAAUAAAUCCUAUAUGCGUACUGCGUACAUAUUAUUGUAAUACGUAUAUGCGAUAAAUUUCUUUAACUGCAAAAUUUUACUAAAUAGUAAAUAUGCGUACAUUUGAAAAUACGUGUGCAAUAUCGUUCGAGCUACAACAACAAAAAUUGAAUUAAAUCAAAUAGCAAUACAGGCUCAGGUUUUCGCAACGUUGUGUUAGUUCCAGCCUACUGUAAACUGAUUAUGGUGCGCUGUAUGUACACAUGGUAAUCUAAACACAUAAAAACAGAGCCAGCAAUCGCUUCGAAAAUAAUUUCCUCUAUACGCAAGACGAUGACUGUAUGCGGGAUACUCCAAACUAUAUUUUACUAAUAUCAGGCUACUCCUUAAGAUAGCUUUCGUCACCACAGUCAAUAGGAAUAGCAAAAAAAUAUUCACACAAAUCUUAACAAAAAGUGAUUUGUUUCAAAGUUAUUCAGACAAAUUUAAUACCCUAAAAUAUAUCUCAUCAAUUAAAGUUCAGUCACCUUCGAGGCGAUGUCGUAAAAAAAAGCUCCCAUUACGUCAUCCAACAAAACCACUAUCACUCCAAUCUCUAUAUUACUCGUUUUAUCGAGAUAUUUAAAAACAUUUGUAGCUCCAUUUCAUGAACUCUUCAAAACUAUCAUAAAAAAUCUUUCAAAAUAAUUUCAAAUUUGUAUAGAUGCCUAGGAUUAUUUUGACAGUCAAUAUACUGAUGGAUAUAUACUGAUGGAUUUAUGUCCUGUGGAACAAAGCCGAAAACGUAGCUGAAGUGUCUGUCGGGUCUUCUAAGAUUCAGAAGUAGCUAGGCGUAUCGUGCUUCGCCCCCGCGUUUGGCGAGGUUAGGCUAUUUUGAUCCUGGUGGUCCACUCGGCGAGUUGGGUCUAACUCUCACGUAGACAGAUCAGUUUGUGCCUCGCUCACUCUCCUAAACCCAGGUGGUUGGUUGGCAGGUUAGACCAUCAGCCACAACACCCGCCUGUUGCUCGAAAAUUCUCUUUUCGUUAACCGGGAGUCUCGAGCAUUGACAUUCAAUUUGGCAUUCGAUCAAACGGUUCUCGGUACAUCGUUCGCCCAUCAUUAACCUGACACCUUAGCAAGUCUUCAGCCACGCGCACUUCCUGACCUCGCGAGUUCGACCCGGAUGGUCUUGAAUUUUUGCCUUUGCUUCUUGUGUUUUUCUAUUUCAAUUUCCUGGGACCGGAUGCGUUUACAGCUGUUCGAUUGAGUAGUGACAAUCGUCAUGGAUCUUUGUCCUUGAUACUAAGGUCCUUCGUGGAUGACGGUUACGGAUGUUGAACUAAAAUCUAGUCGAACGUGCCAGUGUGCUAGUGGGCCAGGAUCAAGAAUAGCUGCGGUCAGACAGAAUACCAGGAUACCAAACGUUGAUUGAAUACCAACUAUAGAGCAGGGGCCGUCUACCGGGGUCUGCAUCUACUUCGAUGCUGGACAUACUUGAAGAUACGACCUAUUGCAUUGGUUACCAUAGCAGACAAGUCACUUUACGCAAGAGCACAAAAGUUUCUUCAACAUCUUUACAUGCUUCCCAGAGUCUUAUAUGAAAAUUAUUCUUGGUCUUGAUUAUAAUCAGCCUUUAGGAAAACCUGAUCCCGCCAGUGAGCUAGCAAGUUUUCACCUAAUGCACACAUACGUACUAUUCGCAGUUCAGUCGUGACGUGAAAAAAAAAUAAUAGUAUCAGCAGUUACUAUCUGCUUUACAGAGAAUAUUUUUCAAGAGAUCUUAACACAUGAUAUAUUUAUA